AUUGAACGCUGGCGGCAGGCUUAACACAUGCAAGUCGAGCGGGGGAGGUUGCUUCGGUAACUGACCUAGCGGCGGACGGGUGAGUAAUGCUUAGGAAUCUGCCUAUUAGUGGGGGACAACAUUCCGAAAGGGAUGCUAAUACCGCAUACGCCCUACGGGGGAAAGCAGGGGAUCUUCGGACCUUGCGCUAAUAGAUGAGCCUAAGUCGGAUUAGCUAGUUGGUGGGGUAAAGGCCUACCAAGGCGACGAUCUGUAGCGGGUCUGAGAGGAUGAUGCGCCACACUGGGACUGGGACACGGCCCAGACUCCUACGGGAGGCAGCAGUGGGGAAUAUUGGACAAUGGGCGGAAGCCUGAUCCAGCCAUGCCGCGUGUGUGAAGAAGGCCUUUUGGUUGUAAAGCACUUUAAGCGAGGAGGAGGCUCUUAAGGUUAAUACCCUUGAUGAGUGGACGUUACUCGCAGAAUAAGCACCGGCUAACUCUGUGCCAGCCGCCGCCGUAACAC
rnacentral:rRNA from 1 species